GUAGGUAUAGUUUAAACGAAAACAUUAGAUUGUGAUUCUAAAAACAGGGGUUAAACCCCCCUUCCCCACC
rnacentral:tRNA from 1 species